CCUACGGGUGGCAGCAGUGGGGAAUAUUGGGCAAUGGGCGCAAGCCUGACCCAGCAAUGCCGCGUGGAGGAAGAAGGCUUUCGGGUUGUAAACUUCUUUGACAGGGGAAGAGCAGAAGACGGUACCCUGAAAACAAGCCACGGCUAACUACGUGCCAGCAGCCGCGGUAAUACGGAGGUGGCAAGCGUUGUCCGGAUUUACUGGGUGUAAAGGGCGUGUAGCCGGGAAGGCAAGUCAGAUGUGAAAUCUGGAGGCUCAACCUCCAAAGUGCAUUUGAAACUGUUUUUCUUGAGUACUGGGGAGGCAGACGGAAUUCCUUGUGUAGCGGUGAAAUGCGUAGAUAUAAGGAGGAACACCAGUGGCGAAGGCAGUCUGCUGGACAGCAACUGACGGUGAGGCGCGAAAGCGUGGGGAGCAAACAGGAUUAGAUACCCCAGUAGUC
rnacentral:rRNA from 1 species